rnacentral:rRNA from 1 species
AUUGAACGCUGGCGGCAUGCUUUACACAUGCAAGUCGAACGGCAGCGCGGGCUUCGGCCUGGCGGCGAGUGGCGAACGGGUGAGUAAUGCAUCGGAACGUGCCCAGUAGUGGGGGAUAGCCCGGCGAAAGCCGGAUUAAUACCGCAUACGACCUGAGGGUGAAAUCGGGGGACCGAAAGGCCUCGCGCUAUUGGAGCGGCCGAGGUCGGAUUAGCUAGUUGGUGGGGUAAAGGCUUACCAAGGCGACGAUCCGUAGCUGGUCUGAGAGGACGACCAGCCACACUGGGACUGAGACACGGCCCAGACUCCUACGGGAGGCAGCAGUGGGGAAUUUUGGACAAUGGGGGCAACCCUGAUCCAGCCAUGCCGCGUGCGGGAAGAAGGCCUUCGGGUUGUAAACCGCUUUUGUUCGGGAAGAAAUCCUCUGGGCUAAUACCCCGGGGGGAUGACGGUACCGGAAGAAUAAGCACCGGCUAACUACGUG